AGCGCUGAGGAGGGCACAGGGGACAUGCCUGACUCCGUCUGGGUGCCAGGCCCAGAGCCGGGCAUUUCCCAUAGUCAUCGGCCCCCUGCCCGCCCCCAGCAUGUCGAGGAAGGGAGGAGUAUUUUUAGUUCCAUCUUGAAGACGGGCACAGGAACGGAGAAUAACUGCCUGAAAGCACUGUCCCUGGUCUGAGCGGCCCUUGGAAAGGCUCAGCCUGGCCCAGGCCUUGCUGCUUCCCAUAACAGUUACAAGCACUGGCUCUGCCAUCGGAGAUGAAAGGGUACACGUGGGGUUCUCCGACCUUCCAGCCGUGUGACCUCGGACUGUGAGUGGACCUCUGGGCCUUGGUUUCUGAGUCUUAGCUACCUCAUAAGGGGGUGGUUGGGAUGAAAUGAGUUAAUCCAUAGAAAGUGCUCAACCAGGGCCCAGUCAAUGCUGGCCAUGCUGUUGUGCUCUGGGCCCCAAGAUGGGGGUGGGCUGAGGGCAAAGGCCGCCUUCCUGCCAGCACCUGGACACUCAGCCCCCGACUGCCAGCAGGCGCCCAGGCUCUUUCUUGGCUGAGCUGAGCAGCUAUCUUAGGUCGUAAUCCAGCUGCAUUUGACUCCUGUUCUCUUUUUGUCUAACUUCCCGCGGGGAGCAGAGACCUCUGUUUGCUUAGCUCCCUCCACUUGCCUUCCUCGAAUGUGGGAACCCCGGACUCUGUCUUGGAAAAGACCUGGCCUCUCCUUCUCUGGGUUGGGUCCAUCCGUGGGCUCCCGCAGAGGCCUGUGGUUGCAGAGACCGGAAGCUGCAGCUUCAGGAGGGUAAGUGACUGUGCCCAGGAGCCGCACUGAGCAGCAGCGGGCUCCGCAGGGCCUCCAGGCUCCCCCGGGCAUCAGUGCGUGCUGCCACCUCCCCCUUCUCUGUGAGCUGGCACUGUGAGGCUGAGGGGCACAGGCUGGGGCAGGAAUCUCGGUUCUUCCCAGCUCUGUGAGAACUGGGAGAUGCUCGAGAACUAUCCCAUCCCCGGAUCUCAGUUCCCCCAUUGUAACGGGGCAGCUGGACUCAGGGAUGUCCAGUCCCCAUGCUGGAUCCCACCUUCAUCUCCCUGUGUGAGAUGGGGGUGGUGUCCUGUGCCCCAUCCCUAUCCCUGGGCCUGAAUUCCCAGCUGCUGUACUGGUGCCCGGGUCCCUGGGUCCCUCCCACCCUGAGCCGCCUCCAGACCAAGCUAUUGUCUCGGAUCCAAGCAGCCAGGCUGGCUGGGCCUGGAGCGGGACGGGAGGACUGCGGGAUUGCUGAGCCAGGAGGGGAACAGAGCACCUGCUUCCCUGUGACUGCCUCUUGGAGCGCUAAUCAUGGAGUUGUCCCAGAGCAGGGCUCCUCACUGAGCCCUUCAAUAUCUGAUCUGUCAUGGAAGAAAAAUGUUGCGUUUUGUGUCUGAGACCUUUCCUUGAUCCCAUCUUGCAAAAGAGAAAGAAAGAAAAAAGAAA
rnacentral:lncRNA from 1 species